GAUCCAUCCCUGUAACUAGGGGUGUGCAUGUGUGUUUUAUCGGAAGCAUUUUGAUAUGAAACAGGAACAUCAGGUUUCAGUGCUUCCUAUGCUCAAUUACACACUUGAACUACUCAUUAGAAAUUAAAUUCUUUAAAAGGGUGUGCAUUAAAAAAUUAUACGCAUGGCCCAUAUUCAUAUUCCGGUGUGCCUAAUCUGAUUGGCUGUUCCAGAGACUUGUUGCCAUAGCUACUGCCACAUAAUACUGUGCGGACUACGUCUUUAAGUGAAAGGGCACUUUGUAAAGAAACAUGGAGAUGUACAGUGCAGUCGUGCACCUGUCUAUUUUGAAGUAUGCCCCAUUGAGCUCAACGGGACUUACUCCCAAGUAACUGUGUCCAGUAUUGCAACCUUAGCCCUGCUGACUUUCGUACAAUUGCGUGAUAUGGGUCAGGGCAGGAGAUAUCAUAUGCUGCAGCUCUUUGUGGAAGUGGAAAUAAUCUGAUAGAAUUUAUAUGAAAUCUCUUUGAUUAGAAUUGUGGGUGUGUGCCACAAAACUUUAGGGAAAAUCCUAUUUUCUGGAGAGCAAUGCAACCACAAUUUUUAUCCUAAAGGCACCUGUAGUGCUUCUCUCACCUUACGAAUCUACAAGUGAAUAAGGUCCCCAAGGCUUACCUGGCACUGGGGACAGAUGGCAUUUUCCCCAAAGAAUCCUGAAGAGGAAUUAUUGCUCAUCACAUGAAGACUCACCCCAGUGUUUACUUCAAGUAAGCAGGUUGUAUGAGUUCAUCUUUUUUUUUUUUAGAAACCUACCAGAAUUCACAGAAAUACACUUCUGAAAGCCUAUACAAUUCAAAGACACUUUUCAUUUUGAAAAUUCCAAUAUGUCUUAAAACUUGAAUAAACUAGAAUGUGUUUCAACUGUGGCUAAGAGAAAGAAAGAAAAUCAGCUAGAUGUUGAUGGGUAAUAAUGUAAUCUUUAGAAAGUGAAAUGCCAUGCAUUAGGGAUUGGUACCUCCAUGAUAUAACAAGAUAGCAGAAUCAAACCUCUUUGAUAGUAAUAUAACUUCCUUCGUUUCAAUUUAUCUGCUCUCAAUACUAUUCUUCUGUAUUUCUUUCUUUUUGGAGUGAUGUGAUAUAUUCUUUUGGAUAGAUUUUAAUAUGAGUAGUGGCGAUGUAUUACAUUUAAAUGUGACGCUUCCACCAGGGUGCUCCCAGCAGCAUAAAUACAUCACUCCCAUCCUUAUUCACAACAUAACUGUGAGAUAAUAAUAUACCAAUACUAUUAAUAAUUUAUUAUUUAUACCCCGCCUAUCUGGCUGGGUUUCUCCAGCCACUCUGGACGACUUCCAAGAAAAUAUUAAAAUACAAUAGUCCGUCAAACAUUAAAAGCUUCCCUAAACAGGGCUGCCUUCAAAUGUCUUCUAGAAGUCUGGUAGUUGUUUUUCUCUUUGAUAUCUGGUGGGAGGGCGUUCCACAGGGCGGGCACCACUACCGAGAAGGCCCUCUGCCUGGUUCCCUGUAACUUGGCUUCUCGCAGUGAGGGAACCGCCAGAAGACCCUCGGUGCUGGACCUCAGUGUCCGGGCAGAAUGAUGGAGGUGGAGACGCUCCUUCAGGUAUACAGGUCCGAGGCCGUUUAGGGCUUUAAAGGUCAGCACCAACACUUUGAAUUGUGCCUGGAAAUGUACUGGGAGCCAAUGCAGGUCUUUCAAGACCGGUGUUAUGUGGCUCGGCGGCCACUCCCAUUCACCAGUCUAGCUGCCACAUUCUGGAUUAGUUGUAGUUUCCUGCUCACCUCAAAGGUAGCCCCAUUAAGAGCAUGCAGUAGUCCAAGCGGCAGAUAACCAGAGCAUGCACCACUCUGGGGGGGACAGUCUGCAGGCAGCGUACCAGAUGGAGCUGGUAAACAGCUGCCCUGGACACAGAAUUGAUCUGCGCCUCCAUGGAAAACUGUGAGUCCAAAAUGACUCUCAGGCUGCGCACCUGGUCCUUCAGGGGCACAGUUACCCCAUUCAGGAGCAGGGAGUCCUCCACACCUACCCACCUCCUGUCCCCCCCAAACAGUACUUCUGUCUUGUCAGGAUUCAACCUCAAUCCUGGGGUUAGGAUGAGAGUGGGAUUGAUUCAAGAUCAUCCAGUUUGCUUCCCAGUGGGAAUUUGAACUCAGGGUCUCCCCAGUUCAGGUCUGAACACUACAAAACCAUUAUACCAUGCCAGCUUGAUACAUUAGCUACCUAUUAAACUGACCCCCAGUUUAACCCAAGAGCAGGCGAACAUUAUCACAUUCUAAAAAUCAGCAAAAUGUAUGUAGAAGUGAGCCUCGUUCUAAUUUUUUUAUUUCAACUUCCUCCCCAGGCAAUAUACAACUUAGGUGCUCAGUAAAUGGCAAUAAUUAGGCACCAUCAUCACACCACCUCAAGAAAAUGCCUUUCCUGAUUUUAUCUGUCUACAUAGUAAUUAACACAUAUGUAAGAGGACACUAAUUUUAAAGCUCACAUUUUUGUUUGUUAGGCAUACAUAUGUGUUAUCAUGCUUGUUCAGGACAUGUCUCUGUAUGAUGAUUAUUUAUUAGAUUUGUUAGCUGUUUGUUACCAGAAGGAGUCCAAGUGACUUACAACGCUGUUAUUAUUAAUAAUAUUAUUUAUUAAAUUUAUAUACCGCCCUUUAUCCAAAGAUCUCAGGGCGAAUCACAAGAUAAAAAUACAAGAUAAAAGCACAAAUAAGUAGAACAAUAACAAAACAAUAACCACUGCUCCUACAAAUAAAUAUUUUAUAGCACGAAACAGAAAAAAAUCAACAGCCACAGGAAGCUUUGGCAGCAUAAUGACAAUAUUGCAUAGGUGCCAGCGCCCAUGAAGCUGCCAGGCAUCCACCAAUUUCAGUGCCAGGGCCAUGCACACUCCGUGGCAUCCACAGCCCCAGGCACCCACAGUCAUGAGGCCAAGUUGGCACUCCUACAAUAUUGUCUUUAUCAAAAGCCGGGGGCAGGGAGUCGCUAUCUGGUGCUGAAAAUAUGCCCAUGAAGGUGCCAGGCAGACCUCACUGGGGAGUACAUUCCACAGAUGGGGAACAACAACUGAAAAGGAGAGGACCUGAAGAAGGGACUCAGAUGAAGAUCUAAGGGUCCAGGUAGGUUCAUAUUGGGGAAGGCAUUCUAGAAGAAAUUGGGGUCCUGAACCAUAAGAAGUUUUAAAGGUCAAAAUCAGCACUUAGAAGCACAAAGGCAGCCAGUGUAAGUGUAGCAGAAUUGGUGUUAUCUGUUCAUUUCAAACCUGUCAACAACCAGGUAAGUCACCUUCUGCACUGAUUGAAGCUUCCAAACCAUUUUCCAAGGAAGUCCUAUAUAACAUGCAUUGCAAUAAUCUAAUUUUGAGGUGAGCAGAGCAUAUAUUACUGUAGCCAGGUUAUCCUUGUAGAGAUAGAGGCAUAGUUACGCUACCAACCAGAGGUGCCAGGUUGCCCCCUAAGAUUGAGGGGGCCCAGCAUGCAAUGUCACAGGCGUGUAACAUCACACAUGUGUUGUCGUGUCAUCUGGAGGAGGCCGAGCACUUUGGAGGAGCUGGCCACUGAACCUGCAACAUGCAAUGCACAUGACAUCACACAUGCACAACGUGCGCUGGGCCUCCUCAACACAAAUUACCAGGAAGAACUUAACUGAAAGGUGCUAGGGGAACAGCUUCUCACUGCAACCAUGACUGUGUUCUGCUGGAGGACAGGCUGUUUUCUGUCUUCUAAAGCUGACCCAGAAACCAGCAUUUUCCAAAUAUAGAGAAGCACAGCGUGAGUAACUUUAGACAAGGUAGUGGAGUUUCCAUGUAAGGUUCUUUGGGAGCAACAGGGAUAAGAUUGGAGUUUAUGCAGAAAUGGGGUUUUAUUGGAAAAGCAUUAAAAUCUUGGAAAGUUGUCCCAGAGAGGGGAGAAGGGGAUGAGAACUGAGGCAGUGCUGUUUCAGCUUCAGCAUCCAGGGACAUGGAAAAGGAGGAGUUAUGUCUCUUCCUUAAUCACCCAGGAUGCUUCUUGGCUGAGUACGAAUUUGAAGCUUGGUUUCCCUAAUCCUAUUCCACUACCCUAAAUACCACACUGUGCUGCCUGAAGAUGAACUUCAAGAGAAAACUGGCUAGGAUUAAAACCCAGUCAUGACUAAGCUGCAGGCCUCCAGAUAUGGUUGACUCCCAAGCAUCUUUCAGCUGCUGCCCGAUACUCUGGGAUUAUGGAACUAGUAGUUCAACAACAUCUGGAGGGCCAAAGGUUAGCCACCCCCACAAUAAAGCAAAUAAGUAGGUUUAACUGCUUGGAAUGGGCUCAGAAUGUGUGUGGGGGGGUGAGUUCUAUUAGUGUACUCUCUCAUCCACCAGCCUUUCCUCUGAAGAUUCUGCUGGUUUUGUAUUUGCUCACUUGUUUUAUUUACUACAAUGUACAUCAUUCCACACCUUUACUGUAAACAAUUCGGAUUAUUCU